rnacentral:rRNA from 1 species
GAGUUUGAUCCUGGCUCAGGACGAACGCUGGCGGCGUGCCUAAUACAUGCAAGUCGAACGCACUCUCGUUUAGAUUGAAGGAGCUUGCUCCUGAUUGAUAAACAUUUGAGUGAGUGGCGGACGGGUGAGUAACACGUGGGUAACCAGCCCUAAAGUGGGGGAUAACAUUUGGAAACAGGUGCUAAUACCGCAUAAAACCUAACACCGCAUGGUGUAGGGUUGAAAGAUGGUUUCGGCUAUCACUUUAGGAUGGACCCGCGGUGCAUUAGUUAGUUGGUGAGGUAAAGGCUCACCAAGACCGUGAUGCAUAGCCGACCUGAGAGGGUAAUCGGCCACACUGGGACUGAGACACGGCCCAGACUCCUACGGGAGGCAGCAGUAGGGAAUCUUCCACAAUGGACGAAAGUCUGAUGGAGCAACGCCGCGUGAGUGAAGAAGGUUUUCGGAUCGUAAAACUCUGUUGUUGGAGAAGAAUGUAUCUGAUAGUAACUGAUCAGGUAGUGACGGUAUCCAACCAGAAAGCCACGGCUAACUACGUGCCAGCAGCCGCGGUAAUACGUAGGUGGCAAGCGUUGUCCGGAUUUAUUGGGCGUAAAGCGAGCGCAGGCGGUUUCUUAAGUCUGAUGUGAAAGCCUUCGGCUCAACCGAAGAAGUGCAUCGGAAACUGGGAAACUUGAGUGCAGAAGAGGACAGUGGAACUCCAUGUGUAGCGGUGAAAUGCGUAGAUAUAUGGAAGAACACCAGUGGCGAAGGCGGCUGUCUGGUCUGUAACUGACGCUGAGGCUCGAAAGCAUGGGUAGCAAACAGGAUUAGAUACCCUGGUAGUCCAUGCCGUAAACGAUGAGUGCUAGGUGUUGGAGGGUUUCCGCCCUUCAGUGCCGCAGCUAACGCAUUAAGCACUCCGCCUGGGGAGUACGACCGCAAGGUUGAAACUCAAAGGAAUUGACGGGGGCCCGCACAAGCGGUGGAGCAUGUGGUUUAAUUCGAAGCAACGCGAAGAACCUUACCAGGUCUUGACAUCCUUUGACCACUCUAGAGAUAGAGCUUUCCCUUCGGGGACAAAGUGACAGGUGGUGCAUGGUUGUCGUCAGCUCGUGUCGUGAGAUGUUGGGUUAAGUCCCGCAUCGAGCGCAACCCCUAUCCUUAGUAGCCAGCAGUCCGGCUGGGCACUCUAGGGAGACUGCCGGGGAUAACCCGGAGGAAGGCGGGGACGACGUCAAAUCAUCAUGCCCCUUAUGAUUUGGGCUACACACGUGCUACAAUGGCGUAAACAAAGGGAAGCGAAGCGGUGACGCUUAGCAAAUCUCAAAAAUAACGUCCCAGUUCGGACUGCAGUCUGCAACUCGACUGCACGAAGCUGGAAUCGCUAGUAAUCGCGAAUCAGAAUGUCGCGGUGAAUACGUUCCCGGGUCUUGUACACACCGCCCGUCA